rnacentral:rRNA from 1 species
UAACUCCAUAUCGGCUGUGGAAACUGUUUGACUAGAGUACGGUAGGGGUCGCGGGAAUUCCCAGUGUAGCGGUGAAAUGCGUAGAUAUUGGGAGGAACACCAGCAGCGAAGGCGCGCGACUGGGCCGUAACUGACACUCAUGGACGAAAGCCAGGGGAGCGAAAGGGAUUAGAUACCCCUGUAGUCCUGGCUGUAAACGAUGGAUACUAGGUGUUGCACGUAUCGACCCGUGCAGUGCCGUAGCUAACGCGUUAAGUAUCCCGCCUGGGGAGUACGCACGCAAGUGUGAAACUCAAAGGAAUUGACGGGGGCCCGCACAAGCGGUGGAGUAUGUGGUUUAAUUCGAUGCAACGCGAAGAACCUUACCAGGGCUUGACAUGUCCGGAACCCUCUUGAAAGGGAGGGGUGCCUUCGGGAGCCGGAGCACAGGUGGUGCAUGGCUGUCGUCAGCUCGUGUCGUGAGAUGUUGGGUUAAGUCCCGCAACGAGCGCAACCCACGUCCUUAGUUGCCAUCAUUGAGUUGGGCACUCUGGGG